rnacentral:rRNA from 1 species
UCAUCGUAGGGUUAGUCGGGACCUAAGUCGAGUCCGAAAGGGGUAGACGAUGGAAAGUUGGUUAAUAUUCCAACACCAAUUAUAGAGCGCGAUGGAAGGACGCUUAGGGCUAAACGAGGCAACUGAUGGAAUAGUUGUUCGAAGGGCGUAGAUUAGAUUACAGGCAAAUCCGUAAUCUUAUAUUCGAGACCCGACAGGCACUUGAUACUCUUCGGAGAGGAUGGUGAAUCGUUGAUGCCGUCGAGCCAAGAAAAGUUUCUAAGUAUAUCUGUAAUUGCUCGUACCGUAAACCGACACAGGUGGGUGAGAUGAGUAUUCUAAGGCGCGUGGAAGAAAUCUGGUUAAGGAACUCUGCAAAAUAGCACCGUAUCUUCGGUAUAAGGUGUGCCUCCUUCUGUAUAGAGACUUGCUCUCGAAAGCGGAAAAGGUUGCAACAAAGAGUCCCUCCCGA